CUUUACUGUAGCUUUGUAUUGGACUUUGAACGGAUCUGUGUAGGAUAGGUGGGAGGCUUUGAAGCAGGGUCGCUAGAUCUUGUGGAGCCAACGUUGAAAUACCACCCUGGUGCGUUUGAGGUUCUAACCUAGGCCCGUAAUCCGGGUCGGGGACAGUGCAUGGUAGGCAGUUUGACUGGGGCGGUCUCCUCCCAAAGCGUAACGGAGGAGUUCGAAGGUACGCUAGUUACGGUCGGACAUCGUGACGAUAGUGCAAUGGCAUAAGCGUGCUUAACUGCGAGACUGACAAGUCGAGCAGAUGCGAAAGCAGGACAUAGUGAUCCGGUGGUUCUGUAUGGAAGGGCCAUCGCUCAACGGAUAAAAGGUA
rnacentral:rRNA from 1 species